rnacentral:rRNA from 1 species
AUUGAACGCUGGCGGCAUGCCUUACACAUGCAAGUCGAACGGCAGCACGGGAGCUUGCUCCUGGUGGCGAGUGGCGAACGGGUGAGUAAUACAUCGGAACGUACCCAGGAGUGGGGGAUAACGUAGCGAAAGUUACGCUAAUACCGCAUAUUCUGUGAGCAGGAAAGCGGGGGAUCGCAAGACCUCGCGCUUUUGGAGCGGCCGAUGUCGGAUUAGCUAGUUGGUAAGGUAAAAGCUCACCAAGGCGACGAUCCGUAGCAGGUCUGAGAGGAUGAUCUGCCAAACUGGGACUGAGACACGGACCAGACUCCUACGGGAGGCAGCAGUGGGGAAUUUUGGACAAUGGGGGCAACCCUGAUCCAGCCAUGCCGCGUGAGUGAAGAAGGCCUUAGGGUUGUAAAGCUCUUUCGGCGGGGAAGAAAUGGCAACGGCUAAUAUCCGUUGUUGAUGACGGUACCCGCAUAAGAAGCACCGGCUAACUACGUGCCAGCAGCCGCCGUAA